AGGACGAACGCUGGCGGCGUGCUUAACACAUGCAAGUCGAGCGGAAAGGCCCUUCGGGGUACUCGAGCGGCGAACGGGUGAGUAACACGUGAGCAACCUGCCCUUGGCUCUGGGAUAGCCUCCGGAAACGGGGAUUAAUACCGGACAUUCACUUUCUCCUGCAUGGGGGUUGGUGGAAAGUUUUUCGGCCAGGGAGGGGCUCGCGGCCUAUCAGCUUGUUGGCGGGGUAACGGCCCACCAAGGCGACGACGGGUAG
rnacentral:rRNA from 1 species